UUUAUAGGAGGCACAGAACUGGUUGAACAAUUCAAAUACAAAGUCAAGGAAACUGUAUCAGAAUUUCAUUGCAAGACACGGCCACAGAUGUUUAAAAGAGUUUGCUAUAAGUUCUAUAACAUGGGAAGAAGAUCAAAAAGAUUUAAUCAAACUUAUAAAGGCCUCAGUUGGCAGCACAAAAGAGAUAAGCAAAAAGGCUGUUAAAAGUUACAGUGAAUUAUUCUCAGAGCUGAGCACUCCUUUAAGUUUUUUGGAUAGGUAAUAAACUUUGAUACACACAAAUGUCG